CGUCGGUCUUCAACACUGAAGACUAUUCAACAUUGCGUCUGAAAGGGGUGAGAUCAAAUACAAGAUCUGAUUCUUUUUAUUUAUGCAACAACGGUUUGGUAACAAAAUUGAUGAGAAUUACCGAAACGCACAUCACUGGUAGAAUUUUCCUGGAUCUCAGGUGUUUUUACAAGAAGCCUAUGCCAUCAAAUUCCAUCAAUAUUUACAAAUCAACCGGACUUGCGCGUUCUUCAAACAUAUGGGAAACCAGCAAAUUGCAGCUUUCUUCGAAGUGUUGGGUUAUGCCAUACGAGAAAGGGUGCAUCAUCGUCCCAAUAAUACAUCAUGAUCUAUAGGCCUGCAGAAGCUUCACUUCUUCGGUAUUUAUUCGGAGGGGCUAUCUUUCCACCGAAGACUUCAUCGAUUCAGUGCAGUGCUUUAUUUUCUAUGCGUUUAAUGAGCGAUACAUGAGGGGGAAAAAAAUACUACGUUAAAGUCCAAGAA